rnacentral:rRNA from 1 species
AAACCAACAGGGAUUGCCCUAGUAACGGCGAGUGAAGCGGCAACAGCUCAAAUUUGAAAUCUGGCUUCGGCCCGAGUUGUAAUUUGCAGAGGAAGCUUUUGGCGCGGCGCCUUCUGAGUUCCCUGGAACGGGACGCCAUAGAGGGUGAGAGCCCCGUAUAGUUGGACGCUAAGCCUUUGUAAAGCUCCUUCGACGAGUCGAGUAGUUUGGGAAUGCUGCUCAAAAUGGGAGGUAAAUUUCUUCUAAAGCUAAAUACCGGCCAGAGACCGAUAGCGCACAAGUAGAGUGAUCGAAAGAUGAAAAGCACUUUGAAAAGAGGGUGAAAUAGUACGUGAAAUUGCUGAAAGGGAAGCGCCUAUGACCAGACUUGUGCCUGGUGGAUCACCUAGCGUUCUCGCUGGGGUACUCUGCCUGGUUCAGGCCAGCAUCGGUUUCUGUGGGGGGAUAAAAGCUCUGGGAACGUAGCUCUUCGGAGUGUUAUAGCCCUAUGCAUAAUACCCCCGGGGGGACCGAGGUUCGCGCUCUGCAAGGAUGCUGGCGUAAUGGUCAUCAGCGAC